rnacentral:rRNA from 1 species
UGAGGAAUAUUGGUCAAUGGACGAGAGUCUGAACCAGCCAAGUAGCGUGCAAGAUGACGGCCCUAUGGGUUGUAAACUGCUUUUGUUUGGGAAUAAUCGACAUUACGUGUAAUGUUUUGCAUGUACCAUUCGAAUAAGGACCGGCUAAUUCCGUGCCAGCAGCCGCGGUAAUACGGAAGGUCCAGGCGUUAUCCGGAUUUAUUGGGUUUAAAGGGAGUGUAGGCGGUUGGUUAAGCGUGUUGUGAAAUGUAGAUGCUCAACAUCUGACUUGCAGCGCGAACUGGCUGACUUGAGUACACACAACGUAGGCGGAAUUCAUGGUGUAGCGGUGAAAUGCUUAGAUAUCAUGAAGAACUCCGAUUGCGAAGGCAGCUUACGGGAGUGUUACUGACGCUUAAGCUCGAAGGUGCGGGUAUCGAACAGG